GACGAACGCUGGCGGCGUGCCUAAUACAUGCAAGUCGAACGCAGUUUCGAACGGGUGAGUAACGCGUAGGUAACCUGCCUCAUAGCGGGGGAUAACUAUUGGAAACGAUAGCUAAUACCGCAUACUGUGAGAUGGACCUGCGUUGUAUUAGCUAGUGGGUGAGGUAAAGGCUCACCAAGGCGACGAUACAUAGCCGACCGGAGAGGGGGACCGGCCACACGGGAACGGGGACACGGCCCAGACUCCUACGGGAGGCAGAAGUGGGGAAUAUUGGACAAUGGACGAAAGCCGGACGAAGAAAGGCCGCGUAGGUGAAGAAGGUUUUCGGGUGGUAAAGUACGUUCGUAGGGGAGGCGGUAACUAAACAGAAAGGGACGGCUAACUACGUGCCAGCAGCCGCGGUAAUUC
rnacentral:rRNA from 1 species